GAAAUGCGAUACGCAAUGCGAAUUGCAGAACCGUGAGUCAUCAGAUUUUUGAACGCAAGUGGCGGUUGUUUCGACAACCAUGUUUGUUUCAGUGUGCCCGGUUAAUUACAUCAAAGAACUUAAUGUGAUUGAAGAAAUUCUCUCACUAAGUAUGAAUCAGUGUUCACUGAUUUAUUAGACGAAUUAGUCACUAAUAGGUGAUCGUCGUCAAAAUAAAAAGUGAUAAAAUCAUUGAUUAAAGUUAUUAUCCAAAUUUGACACCUGAAAUAAGCAAGAUUACCCGCUGAACUUAA
rnacentral:misc_RNA from 1 species